AGUCGAACGGUAGCACAGGAGAGCUUGCUCUUUGGGUGACGAGUGGCGGACGGGUGAGUAAUGUCUGGGAAACUGCCCGAUGGAGGGGGAUAACUACUGGAAACGGUAGCUAAUACCGCAUAACGUCUACGGACCAAAGUGGGGGACCUUCGGGCCUCACACCAUCGGAUGUGCCCAGAUGGGAUUAGCUUGUUGGUGAGGUAAUGGCUCACCAAGGCGACGAUCCCUAGCUGGUCUGAGAGGAUGACCAGCCACACUGGAACUGAGACACGGUCCAGACUCCUACGGGAGGCAGCAGUGGGGAAUAUUGCACAAUGGGCGCAAGCCUGAUGCAGCCAUGCCGCGUGUAUGAAGAAGGCCUUCGGGUUGUAAAGUACUUUCAGCGGGGAGGAAGGGAGUGAGGUUAAUAACCUCGUUCAUUGACGUUACCCGCAGAAGAAGCACCGGCUAACUCCGUGCCAGCAGCCGCGGUAAUACGGAGGGUGCAAGCGUUAAUCGGAAUUACUGGGCGUAAAGCGCACGCAGGCGGUCUGUCAAGUCGGAUGUGAAAUCCCCGGGCUCAACCCGGGAACUGCA
rnacentral:rRNA from 1 species